GACGAACGCUGGCGGCGUGCUUAACACAUGCAAGUGGAACGGAGUGGCGAACGGGUGAGUAACACGUGGGUGAUCUGCCUUGCACUUCGGGAUAAGCUUGGGAAACUGGGUCUAAUACCGGAUAGUGCAAGAUGAGCUCGGGGCUUAUCAGCUUGUUGGUGGGGUUAUGGCCUACCAAGGCGUCGACGGGUAGCCGGCCUGAGAGGGUGUACGGCCACAUUGGGACUGAGAGACGGGCCAGACGCGUACGGGAGGCAGCGGUGGGGAAUAUUGCACAAUGGGCGGAAGCGUGAUGCAGUGACGCCGCGGGGGGGAUGAAGGCCUUCGGGUUGUAAACUCCUUGCGACAGGGACGCGGUACCUGUAUAAGAAGCACCGGCUAACUACGUGCCAGCAGCCGCGGUAAUAC
rnacentral:rRNA from 1 species